UCAUCCUAACAAAAAAAAAAGACCUGUGGGAGUCGCCGUUUGAGAGAGAAGCAGCUUCGCCGCCGACACACCUAUAUGCACCGAUUUCUCCCCCCAUGUUACGACGUGGAUAUUGACGGCCGACGGAGAGCGACGGAUCUCGGCGAUAUGAGGAACAACCGCAGGGUGCACUUCGCCACCUCCAAACCCGGCCCAUUAAUCGCGUGAGGUGCAGAUCGAGCACCACCGCCUCUUUCUUCGGCGCCGUCGCCGCCGAUGUCGAGUCUCCGUCGAAGGCGGCAAGGAGGACGCGGAAAGGGGCGCAGCGAUGCGCCGAUCUUGGAGAUGUCGGAUCUGGGGGCCAACCUCGCCGUCGUCUUCCGUCUCCUUUACGUGAGCUCAACUCCAUCGCUGAUCCUCCCCUGUCCUGACCCUUUUUCUUUCCUCAAAUGAGACACAAGUGGCGAAAUGUGAAGCACAGGUUGGAGGUUGAACUAUUCGUCCUCCUCUACAAGCCAAGGAAGUACCAGGUCCCCUGUUCAUGGUGCCUUAUGAGACAGGCAUAUUUAGUCCUUAAAAAUGGAACCUUUUGGUUCUGUGCUUUUCAAGUUGGUUGAGAUAUUCAGUUUAGAGUAAUAUGUGAAUUAAAUUAUCUGAGCAAUAAUUUGAUUUUUUUUCUUGCUCUAUUGCUCAGGGUUGAAGACCACCUAAGUUGUUUAUGUAUAUUCGUGUUGAAGCAUGAAGCCAUGCCAUCCUAGGCUGAAGCCUGAAACUAAUCAUGGCUUGGCUUACCAAUUUAUUUAGUUUUACUUCAGCUGGGUCUAUUGGAAAUGAAGGCUAGAAGCUACUCUUGAGUUUUGUUCUGAUCUAAUUGCAAAGUUAUAUUGAAAUUUAUGGUGAAGAGCUUGAAAAGAUAAACUCAACCACAUUUAGUUCUUUGGAUUGACAAAUCAACAUUCAAAAAUACAUUUGACUGAUGGGAGUAUGUUCUGAAAUAUCAUCUAAUCUAAACGAGCAGAGGUAUAUGUUUUGCAAAAUUUGUGUAUAUAUGUGGGGGAGGGGGGUGUUUGACUUGAGGCACAUGAAGGACAAAGUUUGCUUCUACCAAAAUGUCAGACCGCUAUUCAUAUAACUGCUAUUCAUGUAACUUGUGUGAGGAUUAUGACCCUAGGCACCAAUUGAGAGAGUGUGUUCUGAUGGGAAUAAUAUGAUAAGCUGAGCAAAAUGCGCACAUAAGUGGCAAACAUGGGUGAUUUGGGAGUGACUUGCGAGAGAUAUAACAAUCAUUUAUAUUACAAAGUUGUUGGAGGUUCAGUUAAUGAUUUAGCACUGCCUCCUUCAGUUCAUGGCAUAAUUUCAUUACCACCAUAGACAUCUUAUAUCAUUCGUAUUAUAUCGGUUCCAGUUUUAAAAAAUCAGGCCAAUUGUUGAUUUGUUCUAUAUGUGUGCAGAAAAAGAGAGUAAGCAUAACAACAUUCAACAAGCUUUGGAGCAUGAUGUUCUCUUGCAUUUCCAAUUAAAAGGUUGCUGUACGACAUCUAAGUCAUGUACUUACUCACCAAAAUGCUCCGAUUAAGCAGCAAGUCUGAGCAGACAUGAAAAUUAUGUGUCUAUAUGGCCAUAUUGUGUUCACCCAUGUUUAUUUGAUGCAUCAAGUUUGAGCAGACAUUAAAAUUAUGUGUAUUUGGCCAUAUUGUGUUUACCCAUGUUUAUUUCAUGAAUUGUAACACUCUUCUUUGUCAUAAAUUAGUUAUGUACACUUCUUAGUUGGCUUACAAGUACUCGCUGCCUAGCUUUUUAUUAAAUUGGAUAUGAAGUAUUGUUAAGUUUUCCAGGAAAGUGAUUGAUUUCUUGGAAGAGAAUGUAAAGUUGAAUGAGAAAUUGUAGUUUAGUUCAAAAUUAGAUUUGCUUCAUUUUAUUGUUUUGAUAUCAUAUAACACAUGGUAUUGUAAGUUGUUGCUAACAAGUUCAGAUUUGUACACAGUAUUAUCUUUCUGUAUUUCUCAUGUCAUCAUCUUAGAUAGUACUAUGUUUCUUCGUGCAUUUCCUUUAUUUUCACUGUCUACAACAAUUACAUAGGCUUGCCAGAGUGUUUUCCAAUUAAUCCAUUACCGUUUUGUUUGUUUAUACUGGCUAAUUUCUAUAUCCCUAAACUCCGAAAUCUCCUUUGUACAUGGCAGCACACAUGCUUCAAUGUUGAACAUACCUAUCCUCCAAACAGUUUUAGCAGGUUGUGUAGAAGCAUGGCCAAACUCGAAUGAUAUGAGAAGCUUACAAAUCUCUUAGCUAUGUCAGUUCUUGGCUACAAGGCGGUGCAGGGAGAGAGAAGUGCUGGGGGAGAGAAGAUGGCGCCAUCGCUGCUUGGCCACUGACUUCUUGUUGCUGCUGCGUCCUGGAAGAUGCAUGGAGCCGCGUGGUGCUCCUGCCGGCUUCUCAUUGCUGAGAGGAAGUGAGAGGAAUUUAUUAGAGGUGACUGCUACUUUGCUUGGUGCUGCUUCUUGCUGAGAGGAAGUGAGCGAGUUUAGGAGGCAUUGCUUGUUGCCACCGAUGAGCGACUGCGAGAUAGAUGGCGUAGAUUGGGAAGAGUGUUGUGCUGCUUCUUUUGCUAUAUAGUGUGUUCGGUGUAAAUUACAGAGGGGGAGUUGGUGGGUCUAUGAACGAGACAAAGAGAGAUGUCAAUACAGAGAAAAAUUAAUUACAGUGCCAUACUACUCAAAAUGUUU